rnacentral:rRNA from 1 species
AACGAACGCUGGCGGCAGGCUUAACACAUGCAAGUCGAACGCCCCGCAAGGGGAGUGGCAGACGGGUGAGUAACGCGUGGGAACGUACCUUUCAGUUCGGAAUAACUCAGGGAAACUUGUGCUAAUACCGGAUACGCCCGCAAGGGGAAAGAUUUAUCGCUGAAAGAUCGGCCCGCGUUGGAUUAGCUAGUUGGUGGGGUAAAGGCCUACCAAGGCGACGAUCCAUAGCUGGUCUGAGAGGAUGAUCAGCCACACUGGGACUGAGACACGGCCCAGACUCCUACGGGAGGCAGCAGUGGGGAAUAUUGGACAAUGGGCGCAAGCCUGAUCCAGCCAUGCCGCGUGUGUGAUGAAGGCCUUAGGGUUGUAAAGCACUUUCACCGAUGAAGAUAAUGACGGUAGUCGGAGAAGAAGCCCGGCUAACUUACGUGCCAGCAGCCGCGGUAAA